GGUGGAGUGGUGUAGAGGUGAGCACACCCGACUGGACAUUGGGAAGCCGAGAGUUCAAAUCCUGGCUCCGCCG
rfam:Ixodes scapularis strain Wikel colony gcontig_1108379613450, whole genome shotgun sequence.